ensembl:snRNA U6 U6 spliceosomal RNA
GUGCUCGCUUCAGCAGCAUGUGUACUAAAAUUGGAAUGAUACAGAGAAGAUUAGCAUGGACCCUGUGCAAGGAUGACUCGAAAUUUGGAAGCAUUCCAUAUUUUU